AAAAUUUCUUCUCAUCCAAUUUUUUUUUUUUUUUUUUUUUAUUUAAAUUCUCUUCCAACCAACUUCUACUCGUUCAUUUUUCUAUUGACAUUUGUGUUUAACUCAUACCUCGUAAUAAUCACGUUUACCAAUUCGACGACCCUCAGCAAUUGACUCUCUGAGCCACAUGAAAUCAUUUUCUUAUUUUUUUUUCUAACUUUUUUGAAACUCCUCAGCACGUUCCCACAACUUUUUAGCAGUGUCAACAAAGCAUUCCUCAUCGGAGCGAUACUUCAAUCCAAUCGACCUUGAGUAAGAACCAUCCAAUACCAUGAAUCCAGGAUUGAUAGACGCUUUUUCAGGCUUGGAAAUAACUUGUUGCUUGUCAGGAAAGUGAUUACGAAGUGUGCUGCAAAUUUCCUCUGAAGUGAAUAAUCCCUUGCAUGCAAUCAUUCGACCGUUCGAUAAUUUUUUGUUUUCUAGCGCUAAUACAUGAGCCGCUGCUAAAUCGCGAACAUCCACGUAAUAAUAAUAAGGUGAAGAAGGAUUGGCUUUGGAACCAUUGAUCAAGCUCCAUAUCACCAAAUUCGAUGUGUUUAGUGAGUCCAUGUUCUUCAUAGGUUGAAUUGGCGGUCCAAACACAUAAGGAGGAUUGACUGUGCAAAUAUCAAACGAAGAGCGCUUUUGCGCUACAUAAUCUCUAGCGGCCCUUUCGGCACAAGUCUUUGACGCACAAUACGCAAAGGUUCCGUCUUUCGUACUUAUUCCCUGCUCAUACGUGAUGGGAUUCCAAUCCUUCUCCGUAUACACUUUACCGCUAUUAACGUCGAUUUCGAGAUUAAUAAUGGCGGCAAAAGAGGAAGUAAUCACAAUGCGCUUCACACUUUUCUCACCAUGAGCUGCCUCUAAGACACUUAGUGUGCCUUUAACUGCUGGAUCCAAGAGUUGUGUUUUGUUGUCAGUAAUAUUAUCAACAAACAAUGGAGACGCUACAUGACAAACGUAAUCCACAUUUUUUAUGGCAUCUUCGAAUGCAUUAGGAUCGACAAUUCCUUGACAAUUACAAAUUCCACUUCAUCCUUAAAAUCAGGAUUCAAUCGAACAAGUUCAUUCGCUUUUUCCAUGCUUCUCACCGUACCGCGCACAUGAUAUCCAGCUUGUAGCAGUUGUUUAGCAACAUGAGCUCCAAUAAAUCCUGUAAUCCCGGUGACAAGAACCAGUUUUUGGCUCAUUAUGGGUGAUUAACGAUUUUAGCAAUAAUACAAUUAUAACCUUGUUACAAUAAA